GCAGCCCAGCGGCAGAGCGUUUGUUCCGCAAGCAAAAGGUCCCAGGUUCAAUCCCCAACAGCUCCG